rnacentral:rRNA from 1 species
AUUGAACGCUGGCGGCAUGCCUUACACAUGCAAGUCGAACGUGAAAGGGGGGCAACCCCCGAGUAGAGUGGCGGACGGGUGAGCAACACAUCGGAACGUACCCAGUAGUGGGGACAACCUCGAGAAAUCGAGGCUAAUACCGCAUACGACCCACGGGUGAAAGCGGGGACCGCAAGGCCUCGCGCUAUUGGAGCGGCCGAUGUCCGAUUAGCUUGUUGGUGGGGUAACGCCCACCAAGGCGACGAUCGGUAGCUGGUCUGAGAGGAUGAUCAGCCACACUGGGACUGAGACACGGCCCAGACUCCUACGGGAGGCAGCAGUGGGGAAUUUUGGACAAUGGGGGCAACCCUGAUCCAGCCAUGCCGCGUGCGGGAAGAAGGCC